CGGGUCGGGGGGAGCCGGAGUUUGUCCGAAGGCAGAGCGGGGCAGAGGCCGUAGGCCGCCCUGGUUUGCCCGUGGGCCGUUUUUGUGCCCCGACGUCCCCCUGCGCGCCGCUCUCUGCCGAGGCUGCAAGCGGCUGUGGCUCCUGAAGCCAGUGAAGGAGAAACAGCAGGCUGAGGUGAAACAACAUUCAACAAAACCUCAUCAAAUGCUUUCAGAGAUCUCUGAAAAAAAGUAUUGUUGUGCUUAAAAUUGAGUAUUAUCUGCUACACGACUUUGUUUUCAUUUGAAACCUGACUGUCCCAUUCUCCCCAUUUUCAUUUAAGAAUGAAAAUGCAUGUUACAUUAAAGAUACUGCUACCUUUUUCUGUAAGUAGUUACUCUAAAAAUAUAACAGUUCUUACAUGCACACUGUUAUGACUGCGGCAUUUGGCCAGGGAUGAAAACAAUCAUCUGAUUACUUGCAUACUUACAGUGAUAUGCAGAAGUCUGAUGGAUUAAAGGAUUUUCUGAGGCCAAAACUAAUAUCUGUAUUCACUCAUCCUUUGUUUUUAAAUUAAGUUUUGUUUUUGUUUUUUUUUUAAAGCAUCUGAGCAGUGAAACUCUCAAUAGCUUUAGAAAGAUUUUCCUCUAAAGACGUUUGAAUGCCUACUUUUUAAUUGUCAACAAAUCUCAUCUAGAGAAAAAAUGUAAAGAUUUCAUAGGAUUUGAAAGAUCUGCCUGUUUUAGGCAAAUUCUUACUAUGAUUGAAACAAAUGAAGGAAGGAGUGAUGAUAUUCCAAUUUCUAAAACUUUUGGUCUUCACUCUUACUACACCUGUUGUUUAUACCCAUUCCAGUCUUUGUACAUUGAAUUAAGGUAAGGAAACUUUAAAACAGAGAACAUAAGGUCUUUGCCAUUAGUUUACAUGAAAGUGUAUACAAAAGUAAAAUAUUUUUGGUACAGAACAUGGAACUGGAGCAUCUGAAAAAUAAAAAUUGUAAUUAAAAUUCAUAUACAGCUUCCUUUUUUCAAAGUAUCUUCUCUCAGUAUUGACAUAUUGACAAUCUAAGAUACUUUAAUGUUAUUUUAGACCCUUUCCAGUAAUGCAUAGAGCACUGUCACCUUUUGUGAAAAUACUCACCGCUGUUUCAGUGUGGCGAUGCUGUUUCUUUUCUGUUGGGAUUAUUAAAAAGCUCCUACAGCUCAUCUACAAGAGCAAAAUGGAGACAGUCUGGAUAGUGGGGUUAUUUUUUCAAUCCAUUUGAGGAGGGUGAUUUGUAGCAACAGUACAUAUGGCACUAAUUAUUGAGAUUUGAGUAGACUUUGGUGUAGCUUCCUGCCUAAAGAAGAAAAAAAGAACACUUAUUCAAGUGUGCAUUAUCUAUACAUCCAAAGAAAUUGCGUUUUACUCCUUCAUUUUAGGCUUAAGUAGCAGUCACAAGAGAUUAAAUGCUGUUAAGUGUAAUGAAGCGUGAAGAUGACAAGAAAAAUGAACCAGAGGUGCCUUGUCUCACAAUUCCUGGCAGUACAAAUUUUAUAUUCCAGACAUAAAUGUCACCUUGGGAUUGAAAUCAUACUACGUGAAUCUGUGUGAGUAUUUUUUUUCCAAUUACCUUCCUGCUUUAAAUAUAGAAAAGAAAAUGAGUCCUCCUGAAUUAAGAGAUGUGUUAAUUGCAUGUGGGAUUUGUGAUGGAAAGUUCUCUCUAAAAUAAACAGUAACAGAAGUUGGUCUUUCGCAUAUUAGGAAGAAAACCUGCUUCUAGCGAGAGAAUGCUAGACUACACUGACACUGGUCUCUUACAACGUUAUUACUGGGCUGAUAUAUGUAGCACAGUAUAUUAGAAUUGUUAGUUGUAUCAUAACAAAAUAUUUUUCUGUAGUUUUUCUUUUAAGUCCCUUAAAAACCACAUGCAGAAGGUUACUUCUCAUGUAUAUGAGAAGUAUAUGUAUAUGUGUAUGUGUAUAAGUGUAAGUAUAUGUGAGUUUUGGCAACUGUCUGAUAUGAAUGAUGUGCUGGUGGGCUUCUGAAAGCCUGAAGAACAGGAAUCAGGUAGUGAGCCUACAAGAGUCUUCAGAAAAGAUAUUUACAAAGUAUUUAUCUAUUAUAAAAAAUAAAAAAAAAAAAAGCUGUCUAAGGGUCUUGAUUAAUAAACUUAAAAAAGCCUCUAUGAAUUUAGUUCCCCUUCUUCAUUACAUACAGACAAUAUUGAUUUGAAAUUUAUUAGCAGUGUUUCAUUAGUACCAGUGGAGGGCAGACUUGAAUUGGAAACUAUUUUUGCAACUUUGAUUUCUUAAAAUACAAGAUAGUCCCUCAAGCUCAGAGCUGGUGGCAAUCUCAUCACUUCUCCACAAUGCUAAUUACUCUUGCGCUGGAUAAAAGCUUCUUUACAAUUGCUGUUUGACAAAAUGAGUGUUUUGCUAUGUCACAGAAAAAAAAUGGUGAAUGUUUAAAUAAAAUGGUAAUAUGAAAGUGGAUGAGUCAAUUUAUUAGCAGCUGCAUGAUAUUCCCUGGGGAGAGUGCACACUGGUAAGCAAUUAAUCAUGUAUAUCUUAAAAUGGUUUUAAACAGCGAGUGAAUAUCAUUAUCCCCACUUUACAGAUGAAGAAACUAAGGAAUAGGGAGGUAGCCUUGUGAGAUAUCUGUCUAGAUGACCCGCAGAAGCAAGAACAAAAUCCAGAUUUCCAUGAUCUAGUCCGGUGCUGAAAGCGCAGCUUCUUACAUAAAGAUGGCACGUCAAGCUGUUGCAAACAUUGUGGAAAUGAUGCAGCCCACAUUGCUGGGGAGCUUACAUUGGUGAAAUAGACAGGUAACUUGAGAGGCAGAGCAUAGCUCCUGAGAAGAAUAUUGUCCUUAGGAGGUUAGGUGGAGGUCAGAUCAGGUGGCCAAAGAUCUGCGUUAUAAAUAGUAUGUGAUUACUAAAACAAGUACUCUGCAUUUUUAUAUAUAUUUGUCAUUCUUUAGGUUAGACUGUACUCUCUCCAAGGAAGGAGCCUUUCUAUGUAGGCCUUCAAAGCCUAGGAAAUGUGUAGCUAAAAUGUCAAUUUGCAUACAAGUGAAGGAUUAAGAUGCUAAAAAAUUGUGCCUUCUCUCCCAUCAUCUUAAACUACAAGCAGAACAUGAGGCUUCCUAUGAACUCAUCAAGCGCACUUUAUCUGCUGUACCCAUGGUCAAUAGCAUUCAUGGGAUUUGUGUGACUCAUCACUGGGUGCUAUCCUUCAUUAAGGCGCUACAUUGAAUAGCUAAUUAGUCACUAAUUUUAUUUGAUUAAAUGUAUGUAUUCCACUUUCUCUAUAUGCUCUUAUGAGGUCAUUACCCGUUACAACAGCUUUUUAAAGCAUAAAAUGGCUCUGCUUUUUUUUUUUUUAAAUUAGCCUUAGCAUAUAGAUUGUUCUUUCCCUUUCUAGAAAGGGCUGGAGGCACACUGUUCCAAAUUCUCCAUUUCUAAGACUUGUAUCAGAUAUACCACAGAACAUUUGGUGCUGCAUAUUAAAAACUCUGUAGAGUGAACAAGCACUUUACACAUUGUAUUCCCCCCCCCCGUUUUUUUUUCUUUUUGCCAAUUUGCAGCGGGCAACAUGCUGAUGGUGUGAAUUAGUCAUUAGUUUAUGACUGAAGAAAAGGACCACAUGGAAAUUGUAAGUUAGAAUGUAAGUGGACACUUACAGUUCAGACUGAAAUACUGCAUAACCUGUUACUGUGUUACUCAUUUUUGGUUUAUUUCCAAAUAAAUCAUGUUUAAAAAAAAGGAGUCAGAAAUAGCUGGCAGGGAUUUAAAGUACAAUGUGACAAUUAUCCCAAAACCUAUUACUUUACAUUCAAGCAGGUUGAAGAUUUCUCAGUGUACUUUAUUAUUUUGUGCCUCAGAAAGAGCUGACAUCUCCAAAUAUCACUGUCUAUAGCUCACAGAGACUCUCCUGUGUAGCUCUCCUCUAUGUGACCACUAGUUGAAGGCAUUUUACUUACAAACUGAUUUUGCAGCAAACCUCUGUACCUGUUAGCUCACAGGAAGCAAGAAAGAUAAUGGUUCGACUAACUAAAACCAUUGCUUUAGGAAAUGUGUUUUCCAGUGUUGGACCUCUUUAAUUCAUCCCUAAUUAUAAAUUGCUAUCUCUAAGAUUCCAAAAAAUUGUUUAAUGCUCCCAGGGCAAAUGCUGUGAUUUGGGGCAGAAUAUGUAUAAUAAUAUCAUUUUUUUCAGUGUAAAAUUAAACCUUAACUCCAGCAAACCACCAAUGUCUUCCAGUAUUUUUCAGAUUUACUGUAUUUCAAUAUGCAGAAUCUUUAACUUGCAUGGCUAAUCUCAUUUCUUAGUCUUUCAGCAGAAAGAAGUCUCUUCAUUCUCAGUGCAGAAGUACAAUACAACAGAAGAACCAAUGCAUUCUCGAGGUGGAGAGAAGAGCUGUGGGUUCACGGUAAGGACAGAUUUAUCUGGGGCAGAUGGAUGCUAAGCCCAUCUUCCCAGCUUGUAGGUGCCUUUGUUCACCUUUCGCUCCAUAACAAAACCACGAACUCCUUGAUAAAAUUUCCUUUGGAUUAUAACCGUAGAUAAAUAAAUCCAUUCUGCAUUCUUACAGUUUUCGUGGCAGAUAGCUUCUAAGCUGGAAACGUAAAAAUCACAUACAAAUAAAUAAGCGUUGAGAAAGCAAUUACGUGACAGAAAGUGUACGUGAAAAUUUAUGAUGAAGAUGCCCUGAAUACGGGGAUGAAUGAAAGGAUAGUUCCGCAGCACCAGCUGUAUCUGUUCAAUAUACCGAGUUAAGUAAGACUUUUACCUGGAUGUUGUUACCUCUGUAACUAAUUGCAUCUUAAAAGCAUUGACAGUUGUUAAGGGGAAACAAACUUGUGCAUUUGGGCAUGGCAGGUCUUUCCUGCUGUAAGCUUCACAGGAGUUUCUACCUCUGCACUGAUCUUUUCUUAUACCACUCUUAGGUGAUAGGUCUUCUCUUUUGUUUGUAAUCAACUCUCCCUUUUAUUUGUAAUUUAUAAAAUAUUCAAAAAGCUCAUGAUUUUAGAGUAACUAAGAUAUUAUUACCCUAGAAGCAUAAAAUGUCACUAUCAUGUGCAUUCGUUCUGCUGAGCAGGCCCAUCUCAGUAACAGAGGGAGCUGCAGAUGAUGGAAACUGACAGAGCAGUAGCUAUUGCUGUAAGCAGACAGAGCAGAAGUUAUUGCUGCAUUUCUUGACACAAAAACACAUGGAUGGGUAUAUACUGUGUGAAAAAAACACUACAUUGUUGUGUGCUUAUGACAAAAAUAGUAAGAAUCCUUUGCCGAUAAAAUAUUAUUAUUUUUGGAAAAACAAAACCAAAAUCAAGAAAGAGCAAAUAAGUGUAUGUAACACGUAGUCCCAUGUGAUCAAAAUUAGUUAUUUUGGCAAUAUACUUCCAGAAAUGGGAGUUUUAACAAGAAUGAAAAUUGCUUCCGCAUCACAUGGAAGUAAAGCUUAACUGCUGUCAGGUUGCCAGAACCCUUAAAUGAGCGCUCAAGUGUCAUUCCCCCUUUCAGUGAUUUCAUAUAUUUAUACUUACUGUCACAAGUAGGAAAGGCUCAGCAAGGAUUUGUUCCUUGUUUAGAAGUUUGUGGGGUCUGCUACCUGACAGCAGGCUGUGCUUCCAGCAGCUGAAGCUCUUACUCAUCACAAAUCUUGUCCCUGACAUACUUCAGCAUCCAACACUUCUUUUACACCUUCUGGGAUCUUGCAUAUAGGAAUUUCUUUUUCUUCCCAGUUGGCUCCAAGCCAGAAAUACAUCCAUUUACGCAGAAGAUUCUUAACUUUGUUCAUGCUGUUUUUUUGGUGUUUGUUUCCUUAGUAGGUUCUGCUUCUGUAGACUGUUGAGUACUAAUUACACGUACACGUAUUAUGAAAGUCUGUGUGGUUUUCUACAUUAUAAAUCACAGACACACUCAAAAGUGGUAGGAUGCUUGAAUACUGGCUUGCAACAUCCCAGAUCCAGGCCCUGUACUGACAGCAAGUGGUUCCCACACUGCAAGGUUGCAGUCAGCUGUGGCAAGCAGCGUUCCAGUCAUUAAGACUAAGUGCUGUUCAGCAGCAAGGCAGCUUUCCCUGGCCAGGCCAGUGAGAAGAAAUCGCAAUUACCCAAUCAGUGUCACGGCACUGAAACCGCACAGUGCCUCAGCCAGCCAGGUUAGCAAGGUCGGGUCCCUUCCUCCAGAGGAAGGUUCAUGCUGCAGUUUGGCCUCGCCCACCUCCGGGCAGCUGAGUUUCUGUCAGGAGAGCAAGAAGUUUGAGAAGUGCUGCUAAAAGGGCUCAUAUUGUCUGACAUCACGUGACAAGAAAAAAUAAACUCUUUUGACCACAAGCCGUAAUGACUCUGAUCUCUGUGUAAGCUUUCAGUGGCAUCAGUGCUGCUGCGUCCUGCUUUUGGUUUUGCCCUGUUCACUUGAAUUAUUCCGUGCAUUGCACAGAGAGGCUCAAAUACCGCUCCUGUAAGCCAGAUGCUGGGAGCAGCUACAGCUGCCAGCACAGAAAUACAGAUACCAGCACCAGAAGUCAUCCUUAUUUUGUUGUCUCUCACUGAGGUUUCCACAUGCAGAAGCAGCUACGUGGAAGGAGCAGCUCUUGGGAGGAGUGCAUAUCCCUGCAGCUCUGUGACACUGUUGCAAAAUAUCACAUUUGAUCUCCGAGUAAAAUGGAAAAGGCAGAAUGAUAUUUUUGUUUCAGCCUGACAAAGCAAAUCUACACCAUAACUAAAGAGACACAAGUGCAGACAGUGGGAUGUAUGAGCACUUCAAUUUUCAGCGUGAGUACUAACCCUGCUGAGCAUGCUGCUCCAAAAAGUCCGGUGCUUCUGCAGACACCAAUUCACAGAUAGAUCCCUGUGCUUUCAGAAGUACAAAUGCUUUUGAGAAGUGCCAAUCAGCUCAGCCUGGUAGAGCAGAGCGUCCCGAGCAACCUCCGGUGGGCUCCUGCUUCUCCCCUCUUGGCUUCACACAUAGCUGGAGCCCAACUGCAGCCAAAGCGGAGACGCCUGCAUUCUUCAGGGGCUGUGGUCAGGAAUGUGCCUUCAGAGCGGCCACGAUGCAGCUGGAAGAAGAGCUGCAGGUGCGCCCCACAACUGGAUCCACAACCCCAACUGCACAGGACCAAGCAAAGAAAAACAAUGGGAUCUGUGCUCACCGUGCUGCUGCAGAAGGCACAGAGCUUGUGUACUGGAAGCUCUGGUUCCGCCUGGUUAUCUGAGCGCCAGCCUGAAAAAAACAAAUGUGAAAGCCAACACUUUCAGGUGACAACCUGCUUGCAAGAGGUACACAUUCACGAAGCCAUGUGCCCAGAGCAGGCCGGGUAAACUCCGGUGCAAGUAUGUGCAAUGACAACACACAGAGAUGAGGGGUGACAGUCUGCUCUCCUGGGCACCAACACUGGCACUCUGCUGAAGGCAAAAGUUGCAGUGUUGGCUGAUUGAGAGGACAGAAAGUUAACCUUCGUUUCAGGGACAUUUUGUCCAACAACUUCCACAAGGAUCUACAGUUAUUGAUAGAAUUUGUCUCCCAUCAAGAAAACUCCAGAAAGUGACAAGAAAACCAUCGAUGCUCAAGUGCAUACAGCCAGGGCACUGCCCACAGCCACCCCCACACUGAUUCCCUGUCAGUUCCCGCGGCACAGCCCAGUGCCUGGGAUGCCCCAGGAAGCAGGCAGCGGGGCAUGAGCUCUGGGCACAGCACAAAGCCCAGCAGGAGGUGGCCACCCACACUGCAGUUUGGUGGGUCUCAGAGCAGCAGAGCUCUUCGCUUUGUGUCUCAUUUUGUUCAGCUUCUUCAUUCAUUCAAAGCUGCCUGCAGAGACAGAUAUGGAGGAAGCGUACCAGACAGAGCCGCUCUUACAGCUCCUGUUUUGUUCUCCAGUCACCUCUUUCCCCACAGCUGAGCACAGAGAGUGCUUUAUGCAAUGACUUCUUUCUUUCAGGCAUGAAACAAAACUGUCCCUCAGUGCUGAGCGGUACCGUGCCGGCUCUUCAUGGAGGAGGAAGGAGUAAUUACAGGGAUUACGAGCGUGGCGCUGAAUGUCAAUGUAUAUUAAAGCUGUUUAAUAUCUUGAAAUAGAAUAUUCUUCCACCUAAGGUGCUGUCUUU